GUGAACAUAUAUAUUUAAAAAAAUAGCUCAGAUAUUCUAGACAGCCAUGAUUUUUAUUUUAUGAUAUAAUACAGUAUCUAUAAGAGUGAAUAAAUAAGGGGGUCCUGAUCAAACAGCGUGUCACUCUUAGCUCCGUGACAUCACAUGCCACUGUAGCCGGGCUUUUGGCUGUUCGUGUUUAAAUCUUUGGAAUGUUUGUGUUUAAAUCUUUGAAAUGCUUACUUUUAAAGACCUCUGGGAUUAUUCAGCUCUGCAUCGUCAGUGAUGAACUUCACGGGAGAAGAGGCAAUGGAGCUCUAGGAGGAAGAGCCUCAGCCCGGACGGAGCGGACUGUACGAGCCCUGGUGCGGAAGACGGUGGGAGGAAACAUCGUUUGACCCGCCGUUUGCUGCCGACAAGCUCCACUACAACACAGAGUAGACUACGAGGUUGAAGUCCACAUGCCUGACCAGCAUGAGGAGGAGCAAGAUGGUGGUGAUGAGCAUGAGGUGCCUUUUAGAUGCUCAUCCCCUUUACCAGGCCCAUCUGCUCUGAGAAUCUCACCCUUUUCCUAAGGCAGUCUCCUGUAAGAAGCCCACCCCCUUUGAGAAUCACCCCCCCUUUCAGUUAGCACCUCGUACUCACCACCUCGUCAUAAAAUGUGUAUUGUGUGUUCCCAGUUGUCUGUCUCCAGUUUCCAAAGUGGACAGUGAUGAUGGCACCCCUCAUCAUGAACGCGCUAACAUACCUGGCACAUUGUGGGCUACAUAAGGGUGAAGCAUGUAUCCCUGCCUUGAGACACAGAAGCUCCUGUACAAGUUCAGGUCUGUACUUCGUUUGUAAACUCUAAGGCAAAACCAGCUGAAAAACUAAAUGUUAGUCACUCUGGUAAAUUACAAAGAAAUCGAAAGGCGACGAACUUGAACUUUGUACAAAAGUCAUGCCACUCCACUGUGCUAAAAACCUGUGUCUUUUCUUACCUCUUCUGCUCUCUCCAUUAUGGGGAACCUGACUGGAGGUAAACACGCUCCUGUACAAGUUCAGGACUCGGUGAUGAAGACUACAGCAAAAAUAAAGAAGCUCCUGUACAAGUUCAGGACAAGACCAUUUCUGUAAACACUAGGGCAAAACUAAAGGUUAGUCACUUUGGUAAAUUAGAAGAAAAAUCUAAAGGCAAUGCACUACAACUGUAUGUUAUUCUGCUCCAAUAUAUUAAAAACUUGUGUCUUUUUAUUCCUCCCUUGCCACCUCAAUCAUGGUGUACCUGUCGAGGGAAAUAAGCUCCUAUACAAGUUCAGGUGACCAGUCAGGACUUGACCUCUGAGGUAAACACUAUAGUGAAAGCAGUGAAAAAACUAAAGUCUAGACACAAUGACAAACUUAUUGUCCAAAUCUAAAAUCUAGGAACCUGAACUUUUAGAACAGUCUUGGUGCUCUACUAUGACUCACACUUAUUUGUCUUUUUUCUUUUUUUCUUUUUACCUCUUCUGCUCUCUCCAUUAUGGGGAACCUGACUGGAGGUAAACACGCUCCUGUAGAAGUUCAGGACUCGGUGAUGAAGACUACACCAAAAAUAAAAGUUAGUCAUUCUGUUAAUGUAAAUCCAAAGGAUAGUCAUUUAAACUUUUUUUUUUUUUAUGUAAUGUUGUUCCCCUACGCUAAACAGUUUGUUCUUGUUCUCCCUCUUGCUACCUUAAUCAUGGUGAACAUGACUUGAGACACAGACGCUCCUGUAGAAGUUCAGGUCUCUACCUCGGUGGUAAAGACUACCGCAAAACCAGCAGCACAACUAAAGUUUAGUCUCGCUGUUCAAGAACAAGGAAAUCUAAAGGCUAGUCACCUGAACCUUUAAUAAAAAUGUCAUGUCUUGUCUUACCUCUCUUGCUACCUCAAUCACGGUGUCCCUGUCUUGAGGCACAGAAGCUCCUGUACAAGUUCAGGUCUCUAGGUUGGUGGUAACCACUACAACAAAACUAAAUGUUAGUCGCUCUGGUAAAAUUACAAAGAAAUUGAAAGGCAAUGAACUUGAACUUUGUACAAAAGUCAUGCCACUCCACUGUGCUAAAAACCUGUGUCUUUUCUGCUCUCUCCAUUAUGGGGAACCUGACUGGAGGUAAACACGCUCCUGUACAAGUUCAGGACUCUGUGAUGUAGACUACGGCAAAAAUAAAGGUUAGUCUUGCUGUUCAAGGAACUCUAAAGGAUAGUCAGUUGAACCUUUAAUAAAAUCGCCAUGUUGUUCCACUCGGCUAAACGGUUUUGUCUUUUCUUAUUUCUCUUGCUACCUUAAUCACAGUGUCCCUGUCUUGAGGUAAACACACUCCUGUACAAGUUCAGGACUAGACCUUUUCUCUAAACACUAGGGCAAAACUAAGGGUAGUCACUUUGGUAAAUUGAAAGAAAAAUCUAAAGGCAAUGCACUUGAAUUUUUCAUGCCACUCCACUAUGCUAAAAACUUUUCUUAUCUCUUUUGCUAUCUCCAUUAUGGGGAACCUGACUGGAGGAACAGAAGCUCCUGUACAAGUUCAGAACUUGGUGAUGAAGACUACGGCAAAACCACCGGCAAAAAUGAAGAUUAGUCACUCUGUUCAAGGAAAUGUAAAGGAUAGUCACUUGAACCUUUAAUAAAAGUGUCAUGUUGUUCCACUCGGC
ensembl:lncRNA